CUGAACCUCAUUCCGGACAGCAGGUGGCAGGAUGGCGGAGCUGUUCUGGCCAGUUAAGGCUGGGUGUUAUUUUUUAGAGCCUUGCAGUUGGUUCCUUGGAGCAUGUCCACAGCUUUUGCUUUGGGGAGGAAUUGAGUCGGCAGGAGGAAGGCAAGGACGUGGCCCAGCCCCAGGAACUAAGAUGAAAACAGACUAACUCGCAGUCACCUUCUCACGGCCGGUGGUCCCGUCACCUUGAGACUCAGCACUCUCCAGUGGACUCUCCUUUCAGAAGAAAAACCAAAGGCAAGAGGCCUCGGGAGGUCAGGCCUCGGCCCCGUCACCUCCGUGACUCGGUGUCCCUGCUCGCAGGGACGGCACCUGCCCCGCUGGAUGCUCUUCCCGGACACCCGCAGCCCUCGCCCUCACGCCCUCUGGGGCCUCAGGUUGCCUUUUCCCCAUCCCGGAGUCUCUGUCCGCCUUCCCUGCUGCAUCUUUCUGGGCAGAGGCAGGUCACUGGCUGUCCCCCAGGAUUUGCUUCAGUUACCGCCUGUCUCCUUCACGUGUGACUCCUGACAACCAGCGUUCUCGCCCAGACCUGGGGCAGCCAGUGCCUGGCGCUCAGUCCAUUUUUCCUGAAAGGGUCAAUACACACCAAGAGAAAUGCUGAUCUCUUUUCUUCCCCAAAACAAAAUCCCUGGAGACACUUGAGCCGUGUCGGCUGCCCGGGAACGAGGACGGGCCCUCCAGACGCUGGGACUCCCCUCCCAGCGCCAGCAUCCUCGCCCUCUUUCUUCUGACCUUUUGAUCCCAAGGCCCAAGAGGUCCAGGAAGAGAGCGGACUGAGCACGUAGGCAGCUGGGGUGGGUUCCCAGGUGACCGACCUCCCCCUGCACUGGAGCCGCGGCCCUGGGAACUGCCCGACGAUGUCUGACCAGGAUUUGAGGUGAACGGCGUCUUUCCCGGUCCCAAGGGAGAACAUCUGUCCCCCGGUGCCCUGGACGCCAUGUAACUGGUAAUUGUUGGCCUUGCAUCGUCUCAGGCUGCAAAACUUAAGUCACAGUCUGUUUGUUGCCACAGUUUCUGGCUUGUUUAUCAAGGUCCACUCCUGAGAAAAACAUCCUGUUAUCCGCUCUCAGGUAAUCUACCUCCAAGGCUCUGCCUCUGCCUGAGACAGAGGGACUCUGUGCUAGGUUCCGAGGAGCCUUGUUUUCCGUUUUCAGUCUCCCAAACUCCAGGAUGAGGGACCUCACGAUGUAUGUAGUGUGACUUUCUUUCCUUUUGGCCACAGUCAGAUCAUCUCAAGUUCUAACCCUGGUUCUCUUCCUUAUCAGAAGCGUGUGUUCUUAUUGUUGAUUGUGGCUCUCAUUUUCCAAACUCAUAACCUCUUUAUCCUCACAAACCUUGGAGUGAGGCCAGCCUCACCUGGGGAAUGGGGGUGAGGGAUCAGAGGCAGGUGACUGCUUGAAGCAAACGGCACGGCCAGGAUUCACACUCAGUCCUGACCUUAAGCUGGAAAUAAAACUGCUUGAAAAAGCG